UACGUAGGGUGCGAGCGUUAAUCGGAAUUACUGGGCGUAAAGCGUGCGCAGGCGGUUUUGUAAGCCAGAUGUGAAAUCCCCGGGCUUAACCUGGGAAUGGCAUUUGGGACUGCAAGGCUUGAGUGCGGCAGAGGAGACUAGAAUUCCUGGUGUAGCAGUGAAAUGCGUAGAUAUCAGGAGGAAUACCGGUGGCGAAGGCGGAUCUCUGGGCCAUUACUGACGCUGAGGAGCGAAAGCGUGGGGAGCGAACAGG
rnacentral:rRNA from 1 species